GGAGAGCAAAGGUCCCCACAGAUGCAGCUGAAAGUACAAAGGGCCACAGAUGCAUCAACAGCCCCUCAGCUGAAAUCUCGACACAAGACCCCACAGUGACAGCACUGUGGACUCCACACAAGCAUAUCUACCACCUUUUCUAUCCCCCAGGUGUGCUACUUCAGAGGGCUACCUUCCUCUUUGUCAACAGCAGAGACAUGCAAAAAGCAAACAUAAUAUAUUCUCUUCAAAGCCUGCAUUGACAAGCAAUGCCGUCACAGCGGUGGGCUGCUGAGCAAACAGGAAUGGAGCACCAAGAUGCUGCUCUGCGCAUCUGUACCUGGGAGAAACCUUCAAAGAAAGAACAACUGAUCAACAGAUUCAUCUUAAUGGUUACACCAUGUAAUUAUACAAUGAAGGGAGUGGACACAUUCCUCAGGUAGCAGAUCAGUAGCACACAAGGUUUCAGAAACAAUCAGAACUUCCUGAGAGAUAAUGGAAAAGAAGCGGGAGUAGCAAGGAGUGCUCCGACUGACGACACAGAUGAAUGCACAUCCCUCAGCGAGCAGCAGGCAGCCCCCUUUAUUGUAAGGCCCAGAACAAGGACCGGCUGCCACAGCUCAGAAACUAGUUCUGAAGAGAUUUCCCAGCAAAGCACCAGCACGUUACCAGCAGCAGACUGCACUACCACAGAAACCAGUGAGUAACCCAGGCCCGCAGCUGAGGACCAGUGAGACCGUCAGGGUUGAUUCACUGGAUGUCCAACCAGCACUGCACAGGCAUCGUUGUGCCAGGGAGUGGUGGCACUGCUACAGAGCUGCUGAUCUCCUCGCAUUCUCCUCCCUCUCACCCCGAAGCAAGAAUCACUGAUCUGACUCCCAACCAUUAUACUUUUCUGAAUGCAAGCUGUACAGGUAGAAGAGUUUGCUGUUUAGAAAAAUAGAGACUGGGUAACCUUCAGCAAGCAGUCUCUAGAGAGUUAAGGAGAGAAAAAGACGGGGCAGGACUGGAAAACCAUAACUCUGUAUUCCACUUUUGUAGACAUUAAUAAGUUUUAUUUGUUUACCAUACAGCAUUAAAAGAUUUUAAACUUACCAGACAAGCUAUUAAGCGUGAACUGAGAAGAAAAAAAACCACCCAAACCCCAUAAGUAACCACAAAAUACAUAGAAAUCCCUUUAGAUCAGCAACGAUGCUGAGCCAGUACCAAAUAAUUUUGCAGCAUCCUGGCAGAUUUUUAUAAUCUGUUUUGCUGCAGUUACAGACCUGCUUCAGAAACUCAAAUAUUACAGAGAUAUUAGAGAUAAAUAGAAAAUAAUCCAGAUAUAAUUGGAAACUAAAGCAUUCUCAGUGUUUAAGACAACUAAGUGUCUGUGAGGGACAAAGAUAAGUGUAAAUACUGAUUGCAUCUUUUUUUACAGAU